rnacentral:rRNA from 1 species
UCUUGGUUCAGGACGAACGCUGGCGGCGUGCCUAAUACAUGCAAGUGGAACGCAUGAUUGAUACUGUAGCUUGCCACACCAUUAAUCAUGAGUCGCGAACGGGUGAGUAACGCGUAGGUAACCUGCCUACUAGGCGGGGGAUAACUAUUGGAAACGAUAGCUAAUACCGCAUAAGAGUUUUUAACACAUGUUAGAAAUUUAAAAGGAGACAAAUGCUUCACUAGUAGAUGGACCUGCGUUGUAUUAGCUAGUGGUAAGGUAACGGCUUACCAAGGCGACGAUACAUAGCCGACCUGAGAGGGUGAUCGGCCACACUGGGACUGAGACACGGCCCAGACUCCUACGGGAGGCAGCAGUAGGGAAUCUUCGGCAAGUGGGGGAACCCUGACCGAGCAACGCCGCGUGAGUGAAAGAAGGUUUUCGGAUCGUAAAGCUCUGUUGUAAGAGAAGAACGUUGAGUAGAGUGGAAAGUUACUCAAGUGACGGUAUCUUACCAGAAAGGGACGGCUAACUACGUGCCAGCAGCAGC